rnacentral:rRNA from 1 species
GAUGAACGCUGGCGGCGUGCCUAAUACAUGCAAGUCGAGCGAACGGACGAGAAGCUUGCUUCUCUGAUGUUAGCGGCGGACGGGUGAGUAACACGUGGAUAACCUACCUAUAAGACUGGGAUACUUCGGGAAACCGGAGCUAAUACCGGAUAAUAUUUUGAACCGCAUGGUUCAAAAGUGAAAGACGGUCUUGCUGUCACUUAUAGAUGGAUCCGCGCUGCAUUAGCUAGUUGGUAAGGUAACGGCUUACCAAGGCAACGAUGCAUAGCCGACCUGAGAGGGUGAUCGGCCACACUGGAACUGAGACACGGUCCAGACUCCUACGGGAGGCAGCAGUAGGGAAUCUUCCGCAAUGGGCGAGAGCCUGACGGAGCAACGCCGCGUGAGUGAUGAAGGUCUUCGGAUCGUAAAACUCUGUUAUUAGGGAAGAACAUAUGUGUAAGUAACUGUGCACAUCUUGACGGUACCUAAUCAGAAAGCCACGGCUAACUACGUG